AUUGAACGCUGGCGGCAGGCCUAACACAUGCAAGUCGAACGAGUGGCGGACGGGUGAGUCAUGUCUGGGAAACUGCCUGCUGGAGGGGGAUAACUACUGGAAACGGUAGCUAAUACCGCAUACCAUCGAAUGUGCCCAGAUGGGAUUGGCUAGUAGGUGGGGUAACGGCUCACCUAGGCGGAGAUCCCUAGCUGGUCUGAGAGGAGGACCAGCCACACUGGAACUGAGACACGGUCCAGGCUCCUACGGGAGGCAGCAGUGGGGAAGAGUGCACAAUGGGCGCAAGCCUGAUGCAGCCAUGGCGAGUGUAUGAAGAAGGCCUUCGGGUUGUAAAGUACUUUCAGCGGGGAGGCGUUACCCGCAGAAGAAGCACCGGCUAACUCCGUGCCAGCAGCCGCGGUAAUUC
rnacentral:rRNA from 1 species